rnacentral:misc_RNA from 1 species
UCAGUCGUCGAGCACGUGUGCGCUUCGGAAGAGAGAGAGAGAGAGAGAAAGAAAGAGGAUGAAGAAUAAACGACAGUAAGACGCAGCCUGUUUCUUCGUUCAUCUCCGUCCAAUUUCUCGUACAUGUGACAUCGCCAGGCUUUAUACAGAGCGCGUGGAAGUCCGUCCUGUGUGUCAAAGCUGCGCGGCGGCGUUUCUGUGCGCCUGCCAGGAGCCGUCACGCUGUCCCGUCUCCGGUCUCGACAUGUAUCCGUUUCUCUCUCUCUCUCUCGCACUCGUAAUUUUUGGCUCUACUACUUGCAACAGAUCUCAAAACGCCAUGCCCCCAGAUAUAAGAACAACGCGAUCUAUCCGACGUCAAUUUGAAUCGGAAAAACAGCAGCUACGUUUUCCAGAAAACCUUCGAAAUAAAUCGCGAAGUUUCAGGUGUGGUUUCAAAACAGACGAGCGAAAUUCCGUCGAAACGAGAGAAGCUCGGCGCUGAAUCGUGGAGUUUCAACGAGUCGGGAAAUCGAAUCAACGACGUUGCCGCUGAGGCCACUGCGAGUGACGCAUUCCCACG